rnacentral:sRNA from 1 species
UUCUCUCUUUGUUUAGGCAGAUCAUUAUUUAUUUAACUGUAGUUGCAUUGUGAAUUAUUUGUAUUAUGUUGUUCCAGAUCAUUUUCUCGUAGUAGCUUUGAUUUGGCUCUGCCUUGGUGUUUGAGCCCAAAGCUGAAUCUUUUUCUCUUUGUUUUCUUGAAGUGCAGGAUAUAAUCUGAAAUUCCAUUUGUUGAGUCUCUUACGUCACCAUGUGUGUGAUGUGGAAUGAAGAGAUGUGAAAGAUGGAUUCAUGAGACCAAGCGUGGGUGAUAAUGAACUCUGAAAACAUUUUAUAAAACAAUUAUCCCCAUUCUUCUUCUCUGUUAGCACUUUGUUUGCAAAAUACUUCUUAAUUAUUUGUUAGCCAUACAUGUCAGCUGAGGUCCUUUUUAUGCCCGUGGUCUAGAUGGUGGUGAUGGAUUAAAUGGGUUUCUGUAGGUCCCAGAGAUUUUAAGGCUAAUGAUAAUUAAGUAUUGUUAUUGGGCCAGGCAAUGUUCUAGGAUAUUUACCGUUUUUACACUGAUUUGUCCCUCCCAACCUUCUGGGAUGGGUGACUAUUACCGUAUUCAUUUUACAAAUGAAAUUGGGAUGCAGGAUGGUUAAAUAACUUAUCCAAGGUUACUUAGCCAGAAGUUGUCAAGUCCAGAUUUGAACCCAUGCUGUCUGGCUCCAGAGUCCAUGAUUCUAGUCAUUGCCCUAUACUGUACUGUGUAGUUUCCGAAUUAUAUGUGGUCAUUUGGUGCCCAAGCUUGCACCAUAUCCUGUCUAAGGAGUUUUAAUUUGUACUUUGUUUGGUGUCUCCCUGUAAUGAUAUAAAUGGCACUGAAACAUAUAUGGGCUGGGGACAGUUAAUUUCAGGUUCCACUGGAAUAGGAACUGUUGAUUAGAUUGUGGACCCUGCGAAGACAUGAGCUCAGCUCAGUGACAGUGGAGUGUCCAGAUCCAGUCACUGCUUUGGCUUUUUUGAGUUUCACUCUGUGUGACCUUUUAGAUGCUUGUAGUUUGCUUAUUGUGGGUUUUUGGUUUUUUAAAAUUAUCUAUUUUUUUUUUUUUUGCUAUGAACCUCAUUUAACCUGUCUUUUAGUGACUACCGUAAAAAACAAGAAUACCUCAGAGCUCUCCGGAAGAAGGCUCUUGAAAAAAAUCCAGAUGAAUUCUACUACAAAAUGACUCGGGUUAAACUCCAGGAUGGAGUACAUAUUAUUAAGGAGACUAAGGAAGAAGUAACCCCAGAACAACUAAAGCUGAUGAGAACUCAGGACGUCAAAUAUAUAGAAAUGAAGAGGGUUGCAGAAGCUAAGAAAAUUGAAAGACUAAAAUCAGAGCUCCAUCUGCUGGAUUUCCAGGGGAAGCAACAGAACAAGCAUGUGUUCUUUUUUGACACCAAAAAGGAAGUUGAACAGUUUGACGUCGCAACUCACCUGCAGACAGCCCCGGAGCUAGUCGACAGAGUCUUUAAUAGGCCCAGGAUAGAGACCUUGCAGAAAGAAAAAGUGAAAGGAGUUACCAAUCAGACUGGACUUAAGCGAAUAGCUAAAGAAAGGCAAAAGCAGUAUAACUGCCUGACACAGCGGAUUGAACGAGAGAAGAAAUUGUUCGUUAUUGCUCAGAAAAUUCAAACACGCAAAGAUCUUAUGGAUAAAACUCAGAAAGUGAAGGUGAAGAAAGAAACGGUGAACUCCCCAGCUAUUUAUAAAUUUCAGAGUCGUCGAAAACGUUGACAUGUUAUAGAUAAGCCUUGUCAUUCUGCAUCAAAAAUCUGUUGUCUUUUUCUAGUAACUUCAAAUUCCAUUACUCCAAAUGGCAUGGUUUUCCGGUUUGUAACCGUAACUAAGUUGUCAGUCUGACAUUUAAUGUCUUUCUAUGGACAACAAUAAAUCUCCCUCCCUUCUGU